rnacentral:miRNA from 1 species
CAUUGCUUGAUCAUUGAUCAAGCAAUGAAUGUUGAGAAAACUCUCAUGUAAACUCUCGCUUCUCAACUCUCAUGUAACUCUUGUAAACGAGUACAAGAGUCGCAUGAGAGUUUACAAGCGAGAGUUUACAUGAGAGUUUUCUCAACUCUCAUUGCUUGAUCAAACGAGAACAAGAGUUG